AGAGUUUGAUCCUGGCUCAGGGUGAACGCUUAGCGGUGCGCCUAACACAUGCUAAGUCGAGCGAGAAAGUUUUUAGCUUGCUAAAAACUGGAAAGCGGCGAACGGGUGAGUAACACGUUUGAUAUCUACCCCCAAGUCAGGGAUAGCCUAGAGGAAACUCUGAUUAAUACCGGAUAGUCUCUAUGGAGUAAAGAUUGAUUGCUUGGGGAGGAGUAUGCGGUCUAUCAGUUAGUUGGUAGAGGUAAAAGCUCACCAAGACAAUGACGGAUACCUGGUCUGAGAGGAUGAUCAGGCACAAUGGAACUGAGACACGGUCCAUACUCCUACGGGAGGCAGCAGUGAGGAAUCUUCCACAAUGGACGCAAGUCUGAUGGAGCGACACCGCGUGAAGGAUGAAGGCCUAACGGUUGUAAACUUCUUUUCUGAAGGAGCAAAAUGAGAGUACUUCAGGAAUAAGGGACGGCUAAUCACGUGCCAGCAGCCGCGGUAAUACGUGAGUCUCGAGCGUUACCCGGAAUUACUGGGCGUAAAGCGUUUGUAGGUGGAGAAGUAAGUUGGGUAUGAAAGACCGGAGCUCAACUCCGAGUUUGUAUUCAAAACUGCAUUUCUAGAAUCAGGGAGAGGUAAGCGGAAUUCUAAGUGUAGGGGUGCAAUCCGUAGAUACUUAGAAGAACACCAAAAGCGAAGGCAGUUUACUGGAACUGUAUUGACACUGAGAAACGAAAGUGUGGGGAGCGAAAAGGAUUAGAUACCCUUGUAGUCCACACUGUAAACGAUGAUAACUAAGUGUUGGGAUUAAUUCUCAGUGCUGAAGCUAACGCAUUAAGUUAUCCGCCUGAGGAGUACGGUCGCAAGAUUAAAACUCAAAGGAAUAGACGGGGACCCACACAAGCAGUGGAUCACGUGGUUUAAUUCGACAAUAAACGGGGAACCUUACCCAGACUUGACAUCCUAGGAACUCUCUGGAGACAGAGAGGUGCCCGUAAGGGAACCUAGAGACAGGUGCUGCAUGGUUGUCGUCAGCUCGUGCCUUGAGGUGUUCGGUUAAGUCCGUUAACGAGCGCAACCCAUGUCUUUAGUUACAAUGUCUAAAGAGACUGCCUAUGUUAAAUAGGAGGAAGGUGUGGAUGACGUCAAAUCAGCAUGGCUUUUACGUCUGGGGCUACACACAUGAUACAAUGGUCUGUAUAAAGGGUAGCAAUAUGGUAACAUGGAGCUAAUCUCAUAAAACAGAUCUCAGUCCGGAUUGAGGGCUGCAACUCGCCCUCAUGAAGUUGGAAUUGCUAGUAAUCGUGAAUCAGAUAUGUCACGGUGAAUAUGUUCCUGGGUCUUGUACUCACCGCCCGUCACGGCAUGGGAGGUAGCAACAUCGGAAGUCCCCUUAGUAAUAAAGGGGCCCAUGGUGGGACUACUGACUGGGCUGAAGUCGUAACAAG
rnacentral:rRNA from 1 species